CUCAAUCCGAAGAUCGAACAGCUAGUAUCCAUCGUUUACGGCGUGGACUACCAGGGUAUCUAAUCCUGUUCGCUCCCCACGCUUUCGUCCCUCAGCGUCAAUAUAGUGUUAGUGAUCUGCCUUCGCAAUUGGUAUUCUGUGUAAUAUCUAUGCAUUUCACCGCUACACUACACAUUCUAAUCACUUCACACUAAUUCAAGAAACCCAGUAUCAAUGGCAAUUUUACAGUUGAGCUGUAAGAUUUCACCACUGACUUAGAUUCCCGCCUACGGACCCUUUAAACCCAAUGAUUCCGGAUAACGCUCGGACCCUCCGUAUUACCGCGGCUGCUGGCACGGAGUUAGCCGGUCCUUAUUCUUAUAGUACCGUCAGCUUCUCACACGUGAAAAGGUUUCUUCCUAUAUAAAAGCGGUUUACAACCCAUAGGGCCGUCUUCCUGCACGCGGCAUGGCUGGAUCAGAGUUACCUCCAUUGUCCAAUAUUCCUCACUGCUGCCUCCCGUAGGAGUCUGGUCCGUGUCUCAGUACCAGUGUGGGGGAUCCCCCUCUCAGGGCCCCUACCUAUCGUUGUCUUGGUAAGCCGUUACCUUACCAACUAACUAAUAGGACGCAUACUCAUCUUAUACCGCCGAAGCUUUACUAUUUAUAUAAUGCUAUAUUAAUAGACCAUGAGGUAUUAAUCUUCAUUUCUAAAGGCUAUCCCUCUGUAUAAGGCAGAUUGUAUACGCGUUACGCACCCGUGCGCCGGUCGUCAGCAAGUAGCAAGCUACCUCUGUUACCCCUCGACUUGCAUGUGUUAAGCCUGCCGCUAGCGUUCAUCCUGAGCCAGGAUCAAACUCU
rnacentral:rRNA from 1 species